AUCAAAUAACAAGCUGAAGACUGUGUCAUGCUGUGUCCUUCAUAGAACUUGCAAUAAUUUUUUUUUAAGUCACUAUAUUUACUACCACAAAUACACGCUUUAAGAACCAUCUGUUUUCCACACACUGAGUCGACUACACACUGCAAAUCUGAAAAUAUGAAGUGCUUUAUUAUUCUAUCAAUUUUGGCACUUAGUUUGAGUUGUUACAUCACUCGAGGAGCUGUUUUAUCCGUGACUUGUGGCCCUCCACCCCCGUGUGCUCGACCACCCCCUUGGUGCCAUUAUGAAGACAUGAGGGACGAAAAUGGUUGCUUGACCUGUGGUCAUUUGGUCUGCACUCAAGACCCGUUCCUCAUAGGAGAAGUCUAACUAAAUUGCAGAUGCUGCUACACUUGGCUCUCAAUGUCAGCCCUUGAUUUCAUUGUAUGGUACAAAGCAGCAAUGUUGUAGUUAUGUACUACUUAAAAAUGAUGUUAAUAAAUGUUUAUAACAUAA